rnacentral:rRNA from 1 species
UGUCCAGACUCCUACGGGAGGCAGCAGUAGGGAAUCUUUCACAAUGGGCGAAAGCCUGAUGGAGCAACGCCGCGUGCAGGAUGAAGGCCUUCGGGUUGUAAACUGCUUUUAUAAGCGAGAAAUAUGAUGGUAACUUAUGAAUAAGGAUCGGCUAACUACGUGCCAGCAGCCGCGGUCAUACGUAGGAUCCGAGCAUUAUCCGGAGUGACUGGGUGUAAAGAGUUGCGUAGGUGGCAUAGUAAGUAGCUAGUGAAAUCUGGUGGCUCAACCAUUCAGACUAUUAGCUAAACUGCUAAGCUCGAGACCGUUAGGGGUAACUGGAAUUUCUAGUGUAGGAGUGAAAUCCGUAGAUAUUAGAAGGAACAUCAGUGGCGAAGGCGACUAUCUGGCACAUAACUGACGCUGAGGAGCGAAAGCGUGGGUAGCAAACAGGAUUAGAUACCCGAGUA